GCUAGCCUACGGGGCGCAGCAGUAGGGAAUCUUUCACAAUGGGCGAAAGCCUGAUGGAGCAACGCCGCGUGCAGGAUGAAGGCCUUCGGGUUGUAAACUGCUUUUAUAAGCGAGAAAUAUGAUGGUAACUUAUGAAUAAGGAUCGGCUAACUACGUGCCAGCAGCCGCGGUCAUACGUAGGAUCCGAGCGUUGUCCGGAUUUAUUGGGCGUAAAGCGAGCGCAGGUGGUUUAUUAAGUCUGGUGUAAAAGGCAGUGGCUCAACCAUUGUAUGCAUUGGAAACUGGUAGACUUGAGUGCAGGAGAG
rnacentral:rRNA from 1 species